rnacentral:rRNA from 1 species
AUACGUAGGGGGCGAGCGUUGUCCGGAAUGAUUGGGCGUAAAGGGCGCGUAGGCGGCGCGGUAAGUCUGGAGUGAAGGUCCUGCUUUCAAGGUGGGAAUUGCUUUGGAUACUGCCGCGCUUGAGUGCAGGAGAGGUUAUCGGAAUUCCCGGUGUAGCGGUGAAAUGCGUAGAGAUCGGGAGGAACACCAGUGGCGAAGGCGGGUAACUGGACUGCAACUGACGCUGAGGCGCGAAAGUGUGGGGAGCAAACAGGAUUAGAUACCCUGGUAGUCCACACUGUAAACGAUGAAUGCUAGGUGUAAGAGGUAUCGACCCCUUUUGUGCCGGAGUCAACACAAUAAGCAUUCCGCCUGGGGAGUACGGCCGCAAGGUUGAAACUCAAAUGAAUUGGCGGGG